rnacentral:lncRNA from 7 species
GUGCUGUUACACUCAACUUGCAAAGCAGACUUGAAGACACAGAAGUCUUGAUUUUUGCAGUGACCUCCACUCAGGAGUCCCUCCUGACCUCGGGGCUUUGGCACAGCUCUGCAUUGCACCUCUCCGUAUGCUUCCUCUUGGCUUCACACAGAUUACUACUACGCUCUUGCUAUAUGAGUAGCCUGUCCACACUGCCAUAUUGUGUUUGCUGUAAGGUGCUGCUAACCCAGCAGUUGCAACACACUACACCAGUCCAAAAGGGAGAUAGGUGUGUCAGAAGCUGGUCAUUCUGGAAACGUGCUCACUUGUACGCACUUCCCAUGUCAGACACCAUUUUGUCAGACUUGCCUCUCUGCUGCCAUCAGAGGGAAAAUGUAACAGGAUAUUGGUGGGAAGUUCAGCCUCUACUGCAAUACUACUAACAUUCACCUCUGAUACAGUGGGCCAAAAUAAUAAAAUAGGAGGCAGUGCUUUCAGAGCAGCCCUCAUUAUUUUUUACUGAGAAAGGAUCUCAGGUGAAUAGAACUUUUCACUAGUGCCAUUUAAUGGAUUUGAUCUCGAUUGGUUAUCCCUUUAUCCCAAUAAUCUCAAUGUCCUUAUCGUUUCCAGCAUCUUUGCCAUUAGUGCUGCUCUCACUCAAGCAGUACCUUUUAACAAUUUUGUUUUGGCCUGUGUAAUCGUAAGGAUGGUUUGGAAGAGCAAGAGAGAGCAGUUCAGGUGAUGCUAAUGGAGGAAGAGGGAGUUGACUAAUAUUUAAUUCCUCUGGUAAAGCUGUGCUUGAACAAGUUACAGUUACAGAUUACAAGUAUUGAAUCCAAAAAGGUAAUUACGCAUAUAUACACAUGGAACAUUAAUUUAUAGGACAAGAUUCAUGGAUGAGUCUAAAAGAAGUUGAAUUUCAAGGAUAAAAUUUUGAAUGCAUUUGGUAUUGGUCCAUUAAUAACUGUUUUUGAGCUCUCAGCCAUAACAGAUUAGAUCUAGACCUAAGUCUUUUCUUGGUAUUUUUCCUAUUUUCCCACAUAACCAAAUAAUCUUUUUCUGACACUCUGAUAUAGUUUAAUGUUUCUAUAAGGUUGACUGGAAAAGAGGGGGACUACUCAAGACAAAAAACACUGAAGAUACGUUCUUAAUAAAUGGAUACAAAGCUAUAUGAGAAGAAUAGGGAAAGCCAGUUAAACUGUCAAAGCUUUAAAUAUGGAAGAGAACCAUGAGGAGGGUAGAGCAAUAAGAGUCUUUUUGAUUUGUUAGUUGGCUUUGACAGUGAUACAGAAUUUCCUUCAGUAGAAGGUAUUUAGAAAAAUGCCAACCGACCAUGUGUGUCCAAAAUCUAUAAGAGUAACGUUGCUAGUUACAGUUGCUUAGGGUGCAGAGAGCUUUUAUUUGCAUGGCCAAACAAGCAAGUCAGUUUUAUAGCAACCCCUAUCCUCUUGAGCCUGAACACUCCUAUUGCUAAGCAUCCAUAUAAUUUAUGCCUAUAGAACUACAAUUCCUCCGAGUAAUUUUUCUUCCAUCUGUUCAGCUUGAAUGGAGAACAUUUGUUAAACAGUGUUUGGAGGGAUGUUGGCAGUAAAAUACCCUGAUGUAAAAUACCCACCCUGAUGUUAGGCUAGUUAACUGGUCGUUCUAGGCACAAAGCUGACAUUGUUAGGUUACAGGGAGCUAGAAGAAGUACAAAUAUAAGUGAAAACAUUUUCUUCUUUUCUUAUAAACAUGUAUAUUAUUUACCAUUGUUCUUCUAAGAAGAUUAUGAUAAAUACCCACUUAGAAUAAUUGAAAGUAAUUGUGGUCCACCUGUCUAUCAUAUAAAGUUAGACUAAGUCCAGUCCUGGCAGUCUAAUACUUUUUCAAUUCAAGAAGCCAGAGCCAUGUAAAUAUUGAGCAUAAUUACGUCUCCUCAUCUUCUUCUUCCAUUUCUUUACUUUCUAAUGUUAACUGUUACAAAAAAAAAAAGAGUCAACUUGAGUUUCAGAUUGUCUGCCAAAAAGCUUUUGGGAUUCCCAUGGGGAUUGAAUUUUACAUUCUUCAGCAAGCAAUGUCUGUCUCCAGAAAUGCAAUAGAAAAAGAGUAUUUUUCUUUUUCGUCUAGUAUUAGUGUCCAAGCUGAGCAGAACUCUGAUUUUUUUAUUUUAUUUUCAAGCCUGAGGAGCAUCUUGUGUUGAUGUUACUAUGUGCCUUUUUUUAAAGCUUCAUUUGUUAUUAUUAAGCAGCUGCUAACAUGUACACAAGUUCUUUUUUCUUUUCUGGGUUAAAAAAUGGCUUUUAACUUAUCCAAAAGCUUCACUGCUAUUGUGUUUGUUGGGCUAUGCUAAGAGCAGGGAAAGAACACUACUGUAUACAGCAAAAGUUUGGUUUAUUUCUAAGCCUUUCUAAACUGUAAAUGGUCUGCAUUUCUUUCCAACCUUCUCUUUUUCCUUACUAGUAAAAUAUUAAAUAAUUACC